CCCUUAGAUGUCCGGGGCCGCACGCGCGCUACACUGAAGGAAUCAGCGUGGCUUUCUCCCUGACCCGAAAGGGUUGGGAAACCCGUUGAAUCUCCUUCGUGAUAGGGAUUGGGGCUUGAAAUUGUUCCCCAUGAACGAGGAAUUCCCAGUAAGCGCGAGUCAUAAGCUCGCGUUGAUUACGUCCCUGCCAUUUGUACACACCGCCCGUCGCUACUACCGAUUGAACGGUUUAGUGAGGGCCUCGGAUUGGUCUCGGCCCGCUCUUUACCGGGCGGCGCCGUUGGUCGAGAAGACGCUCGAACUUGAUCGUUUAGAGGAAGUAAAAGUCGUAACA
rnacentral:rRNA from 1 species